rnacentral:rRNA from 1 species
GAUGAACGCUGGCGGCGUGCCUAAUACAUGCAAGUCGAGCGAACGGACGAGAAGCUUGCUUCUCUGAUGUUAGCGGCGGACGGGUGAGUAACACGUGGAUAACCUACCUAUAAGACUGGGAUAACUUCGGGAAACCGGAGCUAAUACCGGAUGAUAUUUUGAACCGCAUGGUUCAAAAGUGAAAGACGGUCUUGCUGUCACUUAUAGAUGGAUCCGCGCUGCAUUAGCUAGUUGGUAAGGUAACGGCUUACCAAGGCAACGAUGCAUAGCCGACCUGAGAGGGUGAUCGGCCCCACUGGAACUGAGACACGGUCCCGAAUCCUACGGGAGGCCGCCGUAGGGAAUCUUCCGCAAUGGGGGAAAGCCCGACGGAGCAACCCCGCGUGAGUUAUGAAGGUCUUCGGAUCGUAAAACUCUGUUAUUAGGGAAGAACAUAUGUGUAAGUAACUGUGCACAUCUUGACGGUACCUAAUCAGAAAGCCACGGCUAACUACGUG